rnacentral:lncRNA from 1 species
CUAUCAGGCAUUCAGUCAAGAAGUUAGCAGAUAAUGACGGGAACAGGACAUUAUCUGCAGGAAAAUAAAGCAAGGUGGAAGCAGCUGCUCCGAUGGGAGCUCCCCAAAAGAGUAACCAUUGUGACAACCGUGCAGUGGAGACCUGUCUGUAAAUGCCAGGAACAUUUGCGACGUCAUUCACCGGUUAUGGAAGCCUGAGUUAGUGAAACCUGGCCUGCCACAACGUGGUGAAGAAAGCAAAAGAAAAUAACUGGGAAAGAGGUAUAAAACCUAGCCCCAUAAAACGUUUUUUUGUUCGUUUGUUUGUUUUUUCCAAACAGAAUCUUUCAGAAUCCUGUUGUUCUGGCAGGUAUUUUUUAAUAUUUCCUUCUUACAAAUUUCCUUUUUACAGAUGAUAUGCAUUAUAUUGACAUUAACAAUCAAUCUUAGACACAAGUGAUUGUUUUUAUAAAUAGGAUCUCCUCAAUAUUAGUGAUCCGUUAAAUGUUUCCAGUGAGUCUCUUCUGUAAAUUCAUUUAACAAAUAUUGGACUCCUCAGAGGUUUUGCAUGUUUCACUGUUUCCCAAGGUAAUCCUGUCUGACAGCAUGUAUUCACAAACUCAACCUCUUCAGUUGCUCAAGGCUCAAG